UCCUGGCAGCAGAGGCCUGAAGGUGGAGGCUGAGGGUGGGAGGCAGGUCCGUGGUCACUUCUCUUUGCUGAAGACCAGAGCCCGCCGACCGGCGGUACCCUUGGGGCCAGGGCAGGGGAGGGGAGCCUGCGAGACCUCUGGCUCCAUCUCUUUCAAAGAUGGGAGCCCUCAGGGCCAGGUUGGAGCCGAGGAUGAGCUAAUCUUCCCCACCCCCCCACUGCCCCCUCCCUGCUUCCCAUCUGGGGGAUUUUGGACUCGCACACAUGAAACCAUUAGAGAACAAUGCGUGCAUUCUGUAAUCAGGGCUAAUUGGUGUGGUUCCGAGGAGGAGGAGGAGGAAUGCCAGGCUUGUGGGGGCCAGGACAUCAGUGGGUCUCUGAAGCAACUGCCCAGGAAGAGUCCUUGGGGAUGUGGAAUAGCUCCUGGGAGCUGGGAAGGUGAAACUGGGUGGGGUAGGGGAGAGGAUGGCCCUGCAGCCCCAGGCCAAAGCUAAGACGUAGGAACUUGUAGGGCUUGAACGUGGGGAGUCAUGGGAGCCAUGUGGUGGGAGCUUGAUGAGACAGGAGGGAACCUGUCUACACUCCCAGCGCUUGGAGCCUGCCCCGCUCAGUUCUGCUGAGCCUCGUGUUCAAGGGUGACUCGGAGAGCUGAACCGGCUACUCCCUGCACCCAGAGAGGAGCCUAGAGAGCCAUGGUCGGGGCUGCCCGGCCCUCCCCACGUCUCCCCAGAGCCUCUACCUUAUAAUCAGGGUGGCCCUGCCUUAAUGUUUAAGCCAAAAUCCCAAACAGCCAGGCUGGGAUGGUGAGCUAUAAUUUAUAUCAUUUUUCAUAUGGGUUAUAGGCUCCAAAGGCUCAGACUCUUUCAAAUGGGAACCACAUUGAAGAAGGGGUAAACCGAUGUGAGGAAAUCUGGGCCCAGGAAGCCACCUGCUUCUCAUUUGGGAUGUGCUCGGGUGGGUUGUUUGCUUCCAGGGCCCAGCUGGUUUUGAGAGAUGGCGGGGCAGCCAUGGAUCACUAGCCCUGCCAGGCGACCCUGCUGGGGCUGGGGUGAGCUGCUGCGGCGAGGCCCCCCAGCCUCCAGCGGGCCCCCACGUGGAGCUCUGCGGAGGAAGCUGGGAGCCCUGUGUCUUUGGUGCUCCCCUGGCCCCGCAGAGCCAAGCCAGCGGGAGACGACCGGGUCUGGGCACAGCCCCACGGCCUGUGGGAGGCCCUGCUUCUUGCAAACCAAGGCAUCAGCGUAGCCCUGGAGGCUGGCUGCGGGGAGGCUGAGUGAACGGAGGCUGCCCACGCCAUGGACGGGUCUCAAACACGUGGCGCUGAGCGAGAGAAGGCGAAGGAUGAUUUCUAUCCAUACAUGCUCCACGUGCAGCUCUUCCGUUUGCUCAUCAGUAUUCGGAACCUACCAAAGGCUGCUGCCACCUGGAGUCAUUACAUCACCAUCGGAACAGACCCUCGUGUCGUGUGAGCAAUGGUUGGCUUUUUCAAAGCACUUUCACCUGCAUUAUCUCAUCUCCCAUCCCACGGAGCAGACGAGCACAAACCCCCGUGGAGACUAGGCCUGUUUUACAGAUAAGGUUUCCACCGGCAGUGAGCCUUGGGUGGUGGACAUUUUCACAGCAUACAUGGAAACCGUCAAGUUCCAAAGCUUCACUAAGCAGCUUGGAGUUGCCUGCAUCAGCCUGAGAUUCCCUGCCAGGUGGGGGAAAGGGACAGAUUAAGAUCAGCCAAGCGAUGAGCAGCCUGGGGCAGAGUCCAGGAGGGCUCCAGGCAUGGAGCCGUCCUCUCCCCCUGGACCCACUGAGACUGUUAACUCCUCCAGCAACGAUGAGUGACAAGACACAUGGAACGUUGCUAACCAGGUUAGUUCACACAAGCCUCAGUGUCCAGAGAUUCACUGGGGCUCCAUCGUCAACGGUCCCCUGGCUGACAUCAGUGUCCAAUCCCUCUGGAGGUCCAGCUGCCUGGUCUAGGUCCCUGUGCCUCAAAGUCUCUGCCCUAAAUCACACUGUUGAUUUAUCCUGUGUGGCCAGUCCUUGCCCUAAAUAAAGAUACUCCCAUCUGGCAUGACAUUGCAACAGCUUAGAGAUUUCCUUCCAGAAGCCUAGGGCAAAGGCCAGACAUUCUGGGUGAGGUUAAAUUCUUAACUACACAGAUUAAACAGUCCCAGCCCAAAUCAGAUUGUGAAAAAGUGCCCAGAAGAAGAAACACAGUCCUUCCCUUGUGGCUGACACAGUCUGGUUGGGACUCAAGGCUCCAGGAGCUGUUUGUGGGCAGGAUUUCAGUGCCACACAUCCCCUUGGCCUGUGCUUGUGCAGCGUGCAAACCACCCUAUCCUACGUGGCAGGCUCGGACAGACACUGCCUGCAAGCCAGCCCCCCUAGGCAGCCCUACCAUGUUAGCCGCACACACAGGGCCAUUGAAACUGUCUGGGAGUUCCUGUCGUGGCUCAGAGGUUAGCAAA